rnacentral:rRNA from 1 species
AUGCGUUCCAUUAGAUAGUAGGCGGGGUAACGGCCCACCUAGUCUUCGAUGGAUAGGGGUUCUGAGAGGAAGGUCCCCCACAUUGGUACUGAGACACGGUCCAAACUCCUACGGGAGGCAGCAGUGAGGAAUAUUGGUCAAUGGGCGCAGGCCUGAACCAGCCAAGUAGCGUGAAGGAUGACUGCCCUAUGGGUUGUAAACUUCUUUUAUAAAGGAAUAAAGUCGGGUACGUAUACCCGUUUGCAUGUACCUUUAUGAAUAAGGAUCGGCUAACUCCGUGCCAGCAGCCGCGGUAAUACGGAGGAUCCGAGCGUUAUCCGGAUUUAUUGGGUUUAAAGGGAGCGUAGAUGGAUAUUUAAGUCACUUGUGAAAGUUUGCGGCUCAACCGUAAAAUUGCAGUUGAUACUGGA